CGACGACAACGACGACAACGAUGGCCACGCGCGUGGAGCACCGGCUUCAGUUCCACCGGCGCGGCCAUGGAGAUAGGCCACCGUCAUCGCCUCUCCGUGGCAUACCAUCAUCGCCGGUCGGGGCUCAUGUAGAGGAAGACCACCGUCCUCUACAUUUGGUGACCCGGACAAAGAACAUCACGUCCGGAGCAAUUCGGCCCUUCACCACCCCAAAUUUCUGACCACGCCAUCGAGCAGCACUACCUCCGGCACACACGGCCCUCCUUCACUCCUACCGCACUCUUCGCUCUCUCUCACCUACGCUUCUCUCUUCGCUCAAGUCUUCUCACGCUUCUCACUGCCGGCCGCGACACUCGAGCCUUGCGCUCACCUGCCGGUUGUGGCAGUCGCGGCAGCCGACGCCUCGGCACACUUAAGCCCGUCUCGGCACCUCACUCACUCCACCUGGGACUAUCGAGCUUUGGCUCCCGUGCCGGUCGCGGCACCCCAGGACCACGACACCGAGCGCCUCACUCUCUCUCCGACGGAUCGCUGUUCCCGUCCACACCUACCACAAGCAUGACUACCUACACACGGAUCGCUGUUCCCGUCUUCAUCCCCUCUGAAGCGCCGCCAACGUGUGCCGUGCCCCUGUGCGACCACACGUCACCACGUCUAUACGCCUACCACGGUCGCCCGUUAACUCCAGCUCUUGCGAUGCGUCCGCAACGCAUCUGACGGCCGGGGGACCCCUGUAGCGGACGACGACAACGACGACAACGAUGGCCACGCGCGUGGAGCACCGGCUUCAGUUCCACCGGCGCGGCCAUGGAGAUAGGCCACCGCCCUGUUGAAAAAAAGCCAAAUAGGUUGUAUGCGAUCCUAUUUAUCCUAUACAAAUUGAUGUAGGAUCCUUUAUGUCCUAUUUUGUAUCAUGUGGGAAAGUUGUGGGAUCCUACAUGUCCUAUAUUAAUUCACAUAUAGGUGAGUCAUAGGAUCCUACAUGUCUCAUAUUAGGCUAUGUAGGAGAGUUGUGGGGCCCUACUUGUCCCAUAUUCGGCAAUAUAGGAGAGUUGUAGGACACUACAUCGCCUAUAUCCGGCUACGUAGCAGACUUGUAGGAUCCUACAAGGCAUCAAAAAGGAGCUAUGGGAGAUCUUACGUGGCCUGUUUGGUUUCAUGUGCGGAGGACGUGGGGAAUUAUUUUGAGAUAUGGAAGUGAUAUAUUAACACAGCAACAAACAUUAUUUGAUUCCUUCAAACAGGGGCCCAGAACGAACUAGUCAUAUUCAAUCAUGUUUGCCAACGCGCACACAUACGGCAGGUUAUCAAGUGCGAAUUCUAUUAGAACCACUGCAAAUGAAUAUAUUUUUUUAGGUUGAAAACAACUGAAUGGACUGGUUGCAUUCAUUUAUGGAACAUGCAUAGAUUAUGCCCAUUACUAGUCGACGAAACAUCAAGCAUACAAUGAUGCGUGCAUUCCUUUGAGUACUAUUUAAGCACAAACUUCGACAACAGUGCGCAACAGAUCGAGGGGGCGGUUGAACCCCAUCGAGCGACAUUGCGGUGUCGAUGGGGUUUUCGGUCUAAUUUCUACGACUAAACCGGUUCUAUCAGGACGUGGCUUGUUGUGACGGAUUCCCCAAUCCUUCGCCUUCACGUGCACUCUCACGGCUCGCAGGAAAUCCUAAGAGUAGUCGAGAUACUUGAAAAUUCCAGGCCUCCGUCUGCACUUCCGAUACAUUCGGAGCUCCGUAACAUCCGCCCCGGUGGUCAUGUCGACGCCAGAAUUUCCGUCCUAGUAGGACUUGAGUCGCUCUACGAUCGGUCAAAUGGAACCAUGAGUCGGUCUUUAGCGGUUCGGGGGUUGUGGGCAGAGACGCGUUCGUAACUCUGUUUUUUUAAGCUUUGAUGCCCUUUUUCGGACGGAAGCCCUCGUCGGACAGUUUUCAUCUUUCUAGAGUGUACUCGCCUCAACUCGGUGAACGUGGCAAAAUUUACUACAGCUGUCAAAGUCUUCUGGUUCUCGAGCUACCGGUUUCCGUGUUUACACUCCUCCCAAUACAUGGGACUGCCGGCUGUUUUUCCCCUAAAACGUUUUCCAUCGCACCUACAGAGUCGUGUUUGACAUAGUUUUGAAGCUCUUGACGUGCUCUUUCCAACCGCUUUAAUCCCGUAAGCGCGAGACUCUCCGUUCCCCAGAUAUGGGCUUUGCAGUUGGAGGGUCAUGGCACUGGCGCCAGCAAGUCUGGCUGACGCCGCUCGGAGACGCUUCCGUGGGUGCCGUUCCUUUAGUGCCGUAAUCUCGCUUACCUAACGUCCAAUUUACUGGAAAUUUUGCAUGCGUGUUCUUCGUCCUUUGCUCUACAACUUUUCAAUUCGCACCUUCCGUCUAUUUACUACAGGUUAUGGCGUUAUUCCCGAAAUUCCUUAGGCUGACUCUCCUUCUGCGCACCUUCGUCCCUGUUUUUAGGUUUGAACCCUGUGGGAGAUCUGAAUCACCUAUUAAUGGAUUCGUGCACUCCGAACACCGAACGGCUAGAAACUUGCGGGAUCUUUUUAUCUCUCUCCAUUCUCGAGUGAGGACAAACAUGGCAAAAGCGGCUCGUUAUACAUGGGGCUGGGGGCAUUUUUUUCGAUGUCGGUUGUUUGUUGGCGUAGAAAUGUGAUUGAAGACUUAUUUUGACGGGAAAAACGUCCUCUUUCCAAUGGCACUGGUCACCCGUACGCGCGACUUUCUGCUUUCUGGAUGUAGCGCGAGGAGAGCAUGGUGGAGAGAGCCGUUACAGCCAGGUGGCGCCGUUGGAGCUUGGAAUUCCUCCAGCUCAUUUGGAAGGGAAAUCAUAGAAGCGUUCGGACGCAUGUCCAGAGAGCUCUCGUUCGGGAAGCGUCUUUCGUCGUAGUUUUGGUGGUUUUGGUGCCCCGCAGUGCUGUGACUGUAUUUCAUGCCUUACUAGUGGUAUCUGGACCUGUUUCUGUGUGUGUACCUUGGAAGACCGAAAGCUGUUGGAUUUCGUGAAUUGAAGAUGCCUACAAGAAAUAUAUCUUAGAGCUGUCAUCUAGCAUGAUCUGUAAAGGUGUUGAAGACGCUGUACAUCAGGCAAGAGUGUGAUUGUUCAACAGACAUGUCACAGGGAUGAUGAACGAUAUCAAUAAAAAAUAGAAGCUGCA